AGCGAACGCUGGCGGCAGGCCUAACACAUGCAAGUCGAACGAACCUUUCGGGGUUAGUGGCGGACGGGUGCGUAACACGUGGGAACGUGCCUUUAGGUUCGGAAUAACUCAGGGAAACUUGUGCUAAUACCGAAUGUGCUCUUCGGGGGAAAGAUUUAUCGCCUUUAGAGCGGCCCGCGUCUGAUUAGCUAGUUGGUUGAGGUAAUGGCUCACCAAGGCGACGAUCAGUAGCUGGUCUGGGAGGAUGAUCAGCCACAUUGGGACUGAGACACGGCCCAAACUCCUACGGGAGGGAGCAGUGGGGAAUCUUGCGCAAUGGGCGAAAGGCUGACGCAGCCAUGCCGGGUGAAUGAUGAAGGUCUUAGGAUUGUAAAAUUCUUUCACCGGGGACGGUAAUGACGGUACCCGGAGAAGAAGCCCCGGCUAACUUCGUG
rnacentral:rRNA from 1 species